rnacentral:rRNA from 1 species
UACGGAGGGUGCAAGCGUUAAUCGGAAUUACUGGGCGUAAAGCGCGCGUAGGUGGUUUGUUAAGUUGGAUGUAAAAUCCCCGGGCUUAACCUGGGAACUGCGUUUGAAACUACAGAGCUAGAGUGUGGCAGAGGGGGGUGGAAUUCCAUGUGUAGCAGUGAAAUGCGUAGAGAUAUGGAAGAACAUCGAUGGCGAAGGCAGCCCCCUGGGUUAACACUGACGCUCAGGCACGAAAGCGUGGGGAGCAAACAGG